AGUGGGAUUCACUUUUUUACAAGAGGCUUGUAUAGAGCUUGUCUAUUUGGAGCUUGUAUCUAGCAUUACUCUUUUCUCUCUAUGCUUUAUGGCUUCCUCCAUUUUAUUUGCUGUUCAUUUGGCUCUUUCUCUUGUAUUUAGUGAGCGUCAUGGUGUGCCUUGUGAAUUCAUAUUGGAAGAAAGGUUACUCCCCAAGUUGAAACUCUUUACUCUGAAAAUAUUGUGAUUUGCCAAAACGUUUCAACAUCAUUCUACUAUACUGCCUUUACUGUUCAUUCCUGAACGGAAUAUGAUAUUUUGAUGUGUCUGUGAUUUUUAUACUGUUUUCUACCCAAAAAGAUGGGUUUGUGGUCCAUGUAGAAACAAUAAUUUGAAGAUUUUUUUAUUGUUACAAUUAAUUUUAUAGGUUGAACACUCUUGCAUCAAUCUUGAGUUUUUUCAUUUCCAUUUUGUUGCCAACUUUUUAAGCUCAAGGGUGGUUUUUUUCAGUUGGCUCCUAUGUUGUUUGCAGUAAAACUGUGAGAAUUGUAACUAGUUUUACUCUUCCAUUUUUCUUUUGUUUGAUGGUACUUAGUGGACCUUAUUUGUCUUCUUGGGACAUUUUCAUAUGUGAUCGAAUGUUAGUGAAUCAGAUUUUUUGAUCCCUGUGAUUGACCUUGCUCAUGAUCUUGUAAAUAUUUUCGUAAGUGGAGUUUUAUCGUCGGAGAUUUUGGCACGACUCUUGGUGUAGAUGUCUCCAUCAUUUUAUGUUUUACAUCUUUUGUUUGUAAGGCAUGAUGCCUUUUCAUCUUGACCUUUGUUUUGUUAAUUUUGCUAUGCAAAAACCAUAAAUUUUACUUUUGUAAUUUGGUUCAAUAGAGCCCUAGAUAAUGAAACCGUUUGUUUGUUUUACUCCCUCGUCACUUUGAAGAUAACUGCCAUUGGAGGCGACACUGAAUAGGAUUGGCAAUUAGUAAGGGACUGAAAGGCUAUGUAAUUACGUCGACAUCAUAGACUGGUGGAAAUAUAUAUGGAUCUCAUAAAAUAUUAGGAUAGCAAUGUAAUUACCCUGAGCUUUACUU